CCCUUAGAGUUUGAUCCUGGCUCAGGAUGAACGCUAGCUACAGGCUUAACACAUGCAAGUCGAGGGGCAGCGGGAUUGAAGCUUGCUUCAAUUGCCGGCGACCGGCGCACGGGUGAGUAACGCGUAUCCAACCUUCCGUACACUCAGGGAUAGCCUUUCGAAAGAAAGAUUAAUACCUGAUGGUAUGAUGAGAUUGCAUGAUAGCAUCAUUAAAGAUUUAUCAGUGUACGAUGGGGAUGCGUUCCAUUAGGUAGUAGGCGGGGUAACGGCCCACCUAGCCAACGAUGGAUAGGGGUUCUGAGAGGAAGGUCCCCCACAUUGGAACUGAGACACGGUCCAAACUCCUACGGGAGGCAGCAGUGAGGAAUAUUGGUCAAUGGACGAGAGUCUGAACCAGCCAAGUAGCGUGAAGGAUGAAGGUCCUACGGAUUGUAAACUUCUUUUAUAAGGGAAUAAACCCUCCCACGUGUGGGAGCUUGUAUGUACCUUAUGAAUAAGCAUCGGCUAACUCCGUGCCAGCAGCCGCGGUAAUACGGAGGAUGCGAGCGUUAUCCGGAUUUAUUGGGUUUAAAGGGAGCGCAGACGGGUCGUUAAGUCAGCUGUGAAAGUUUGGGGCUCAACCUUAAAAUUGCAGUUGAUACUGGCGUCCUUGAGUGCGGUUGAGGUGUGCGGAAUUCGUGGUGUAGCGGUGAAAUGCUUAGAUAUCACGAAGAACUCCGAUUGCGAAGGCAGCACACUAAUCCGUAACUGACGUUCAUGCUCGAAAGUGUGGGUAUCAAACAGGAUUAGAUACCCUGGUAGUCCACACGGUAAACGAUGGAUACUCGCUGUUGGCGAUAUACUGUCAGCGGCUUAGCGAAAGCGUUAAGUAUCCCACCUGGGGAGUACGCCGGCAACGGU
rnacentral:rRNA from 1 species